CGCAUAUUCUAUCAUUGCAGCCUUAGUUCCAUGGUUCCACCCAACCUGGCGACAUUUGCACCACUCGCAGGUACACAAACUUCUCUCUUCUUUCAUGAUAUCGAAUGUUGGAUUUGUCCUGGUCCUGCUGAAUCAUAUUUUUCAUUGGAAAAUUUGGGCAUGAGAAGGAAAAAAAAUAUUUGCACCAGCUCUGGCGUGUGCCACAUGUUUGACAGGCAUAUACCAUGGGAUUCGAUGAAGAAGAGGAGCAGGUGUUGUUCACGGUCGUCGCUGAAGCGCCUAGGCCCUAGCAGCUGACUCUGAGAAGCAUUUGGCAUGUACCAAGGUAUCAAGACCUCCUCUUUCUUGCUUCUGAUGUUGUCCCUCCAAUCCUUUGUUUUACUCAGGACAUGAUGUUCCCAACUCACUCUCACUUGGGAGUUCUUAUCUGCCCUAUAGAGUAUAGACUGGUUAUGUACGAAAGAGACUGCGGAAGGGUUGAUUUAGUUUUUGCUGAUUUUGAAAACUAACACUACUGCUGAGUUCCUAAAGUCAUUUGGCAGGGAUUCUAUUUUGGGCUCAAUUGAAUCCAAGGUGUACAAGGUAGUCUGUUUUGCCAAUGCCAUCAGGUGGCUUUCGGUUCACCGGCCACGCGACCAACUGUAAAACUAUAGCUGGAAACCAUGUCUAGGAGGCAGGCAUAUGUGAGUCUAACAAUUGUGUCCAAUUUCAGUUUGCUAGCAAUUUUGCAACUGUUGUGUAGACCUUUUCAGCCAAGCGAAUAUUUUGAAUAUAUGUGCACAUAAGGGCCUAAAAAAGAAAAUCACUAGAGGAUUGGAGCUCUAAUAUGCAAGGAGAAGUUUCUUUCCAUGCUGGAGAUCAGUGUUGGAACCCCAGUCUUCCGCGAAGAUGCCC